AACAGGAAAUGGGAUUGCAAACCUAGUAGCUGCGCGUGCCGGCUGUUCAGGACUAGCGCAGGACUCCGGGCGCCCUCCCAGCCUACUCGUGCCGCUGCCCGGGCACUAGCUUCCCGAGAAAAGUCGUGGGACCAUGUCGAAUAUGGGGAAGCCGUUAUUUAACUUGAAGUUUGCUGCAAAAGAACUUAAUAGGAAUGCCAAGAAAUGUGAUGAAGAAGAAAAGGCUGAAAAGGCCAAGAUUAAAAGACUUCAGCCUUGAUGAACAAAUUCGAACACCAGUUUGAAAUAUUGGAUAUUCAAACACAACAAAUGGAGGAUAAAAUGAGUAACUCUACAACCCUAACAACACCACAAAACCAAAUGGAUAUGCUGCUUCAGGAAAUGCCAGAUGAAGCUAGGUAAGAAGUUAUCCAGGUGAUUGUGGAAAAUCUUGAUUUAGUAUCUAGAGGUUCUAAAAUUCUGUGAUAUAGAUGAAAAUAUUUCUCUUUUCCACGAAUUGCCAGAGUUAGGUUUGUGACCCUAGAAUUUAGUGUUUCAAGGGAUUUUAAACAGUCAUCUAAUUCCUUGCCAUGCUCAUAAAAAUUUGACUGUGUUUCAAUCAUCUUAGUAUUUUCUUAAAAAUUUCUGGAAAUAGACUCAUUUAGUGUGUGUAAAGAAAUAGGCAAAGGUGAUCAAAG
rnacentral:lncRNA from 10 species